UACGUAGGGUGCAAGCAUUGUCCGGAAUUAUUGGGCGUAAAGAGCUCGUAGGCGGUUUGUCGCGUCUGCUGUGAAAACUCGGGGCUUAACCCCGGGCCUGCAGUGGGUACGGGCAGACUAGAGUGCGGUAGGGGAGACUGGAAUUCCUGGUGUAGCGGUGAAAUGCGCAGAUAUCAGGAGGAACACCGGUGGCGAAGGCGGGUCUCUGGGCCGUAACUGACGCUGAGGAGCGAAAGCGUGGGGAGCGAACAGG
rnacentral:rRNA from 1 species